UUGACCUUUGACCUAGUGACCCCAAAAACAAUAGGGGACAUCUACUAAAUAUGGUCAAUCAUUAUGUGAAAUAUGUUGACUUUGUGAUGAAUACUUUUCAAGAUUAUCAGCGAAAACUAUGCAGACAUUUAAGGCCCCUGUGACCUUGACCUUUGACCUAGUGACCCCAAUAUCAAUAGGGGUAAUUUUCUAGUUAUGAACAAUCACAAUGUGAAAUAUGAAGACUUUGUGAUAAAUAAUUUUCAAAAUAAUCAGCGGAAACCAUGUAGUCUACCGACGGACAGACCGACAGACAGACCGACAUUCGCAAAACAAUAUACCCUCUCUUCUUCGAAGGGGGGGGGGGGGAUAGUAACAACGACAGUGACCUACAACAUCCGAGAAUGGAUUCCGGGUCAUCCGAUUCACGGUCCUACGAUCUACCUUUUGAGCUAAUCACGGGUCACCAACGAUUGGAAUUCCGUUGAAGCUGGAGACCCUGCUAUGUUUCACCACGAUGAAGGUUGUAACAUGAAAGUAUGCUUUUGUCGAAAAUAUGAAUAAAUUUUUAUUUCUACAUUCUUGAACUUUUUUAUUAAAUACACAGUACAAAUGACAGUGUAUUUUAUUUGUUUUAUGCCAGGUACAAGGGCUAUGGCUUGUCAAUGAUGGUAGCGACUUAAUGUGGAAUACUCAGUAGUGCAAAUUACGCUCACCAUGUCCGGAAAUGGAAGGAAUUUCAUAGACAAGCAAACUUGGCACACAAACCUUAUCCGGUCUUUGGGUUAUUAGAUUAAAACUUAAAAUUUAAAUGAGCUAUAACAUGUACUUAAUGUCUGAUUAUUCUAAAACAACAGCAAACAUCGCUCGAAGCAAGUUAAAAUACAAGUAUUCAUUAACUUUGAUUGUUUUACUAUACCGAUGUUUUAUUUUAAAGAUAUAUUUAAUAUUGAAACAGAUACUCCAAAUUCCAACCAUCAUUUAUAAGCCUUCCAACGAAAUCAUCAAUCGUUAUUUUGGCUUCGACAUAUCACACCACACGGUGUCUGUCCUUGCCGUGUUGAUACAAAGGUCAAAUUCUCAAUUCAGGGCCAGUGCUUUGUUGCAGCAGAUCCAGAAGCGUUUGCACCUGGGUUUGCAGACAGACUAAGUGACUAAGUGAUCUCAGGCAACAUUUUAGGAAUUUCGAGACAGCAGAUGGUCAAUCAGAGGUGUUGGUAGCCGGUGAUUCAGAGAAAAUACACAUGGAAAAAUGUGACAAUCAAGGUGGAAUCUGGUACCAUCCAAACCAAAUUAAAAAUGUCAAUGAUAUAGCUGCGUCAUUACAAAUUGAACCUAUGAAUUCGUUGUAGAAGGCUGAACGCAACUUUUGGAUCACCGUCAAACGGACACACUGUCAAAACAUUUUAAUUAUGUG